AUACAGAGGGUGCGAGCGUUAAUCGGAAUUACUGGGCGUAAAGCGCGCGUAGGCGGUUAGUAAGUCGGGUGUGAAAGCCCCGGGCUCAACCUGGGAACUGCAUUCGAUACUGGCAAACUAGAGUAUAGUAGAGGCAAGUGGAAUUCCGGGUGUAGCGGUGAAAUGCGUAGAUAUCCGGAGGAACAUCAGUGGCGAAGGCGACUUGCUGGACUAAUACUGACGCUGAGGAGCGAAAGCGUGGGGAGCAAACGGGAUUAGAUACCCCGGUAGUCC
rnacentral:rRNA from 1 species